AUAAGGAUGACUUUUCUUUUACAGAUAUACUUCAUGAAGAAAAUCUGAAAUACCUCUAAGAAGUUCUGAAUGU